CUAACCCACAAAUAUGAAACACUGAACUCACAACCCCACAAUUAAUCCCACGUGAAUCGAUUUUCCCAAAAUCGAUUACCAUAACACGCCGGAAGUCCCAAAAAUCAUACCGGGACUCUGCCGGGACCCACAAACUGUCUCGAAACUCACCGACUCAUGCCACGAGUCACCCGCUGUCACUAAACACAAUUAUUCGUGUGACUUGGCAGCAAACACACCUCACAUCGAAACAAUUAUCGUCGGAUAAUCGUUCUGAUCCGGAUUCCCGGAAGUGUCAAAUUCGACACUGGAACCCACCGUCGCUUACCCGUCGUUUUCGAACCCUCGUAAUGACGCGAGUGACAAGCUAACAAGGCUCAGCGACAAUGUAAAUCAUAGUGAGGCACCGUCGGAAUAAAUCCGAAUCGAAAUCGCGUUUCGUCGGCAAAUUUCGCCGAAAAACACAUCGAAAAUCGACAUUCGAUUUUUU
rnacentral:lncRNA from 1 species